rnacentral:snRNA from 1 species
AUCCGCACUGGCAGGGAAGAGACCAAGGUCACCAAGUGGUUUUCCCAUGGAAAGGUUCAUCCAUUGUGCUCCAGUCUACCGCCCACUGUGACUUCCCCAAUGAUGGGAAACUUGACUGUGUAACUUGUGGUAGGGGGGACUGCACUUGCAGUUCCCUU